GCCCCUUUAGUCUACCAAUUGCCACUUCAACGUCAUUUGAGCAAUAUAGGUGCUUCCCUCCAUUUCAUCAUCUUUUGGUUAAUACCCACCAGAAACAAAUCUCAAACUCAUUUAUCUCUUUCUUCCUCCUCUUUCUUCAUUAAACUUUUGGGUGCUCAAAACCUCUAUGUUUCUGGGGCGACUUGUUAGGAGGCUCGGUUUAUCUCUUUUUCUGGCAUUUCCUACUUUUUUUUUCAUGGUCAAAUUAGGCUUCCACAUGGUUUUUCUUCUUCAUGCAUAUUUAGACGGAAAGUGGUGCUAGAUUUUAAAAGAAAAACGCUUUCUUUUUGUUUUAUAAGCCUUGCGUGGGGCUGCAACACUGAAAGCAAGAGCGUUAAAGGAUGUGUGGAUUUUAUUGUGAUGAAUCGGAUGAAUCCUACCUGCAGCCACAAACUUGAUAAUUUAGGGAUAUGGGGAUUUUAUUGUGAUGAAUCAGAUGCUUUUGAUGUCAAAAUGGAUGAAUCCUACCUGCUUUUCAAGAACAAAAUAGAAAUGGAUCAAUGGCAAAGUAAUGAAGUUUGCCUAGCUGGUGGAUCCCAAAGUUCCCUGCUUGAUUCCAGGUUUGUUUCCCUUUACUUUUAAUCUCAACG